GGUUAAGCGACUAAGCGUACACGGUGGAUGCCCUGGCAGUCAGAGGCGAUGAAGGACGUGCUAAUCUGCGAAAAGCGUCGGUAAGGUGAUAUGAACCGUUAUAACCGGCGAUGUCCGAAUGGGGAAACCCAGUGCAAUUCGUUGCACUAUCGUUAACUGAAUACAUAGGUUAACGAGGCGAACCGGGGGAACUGAAACAUCUAAGUACCCCGAGGAAAAGAAAUCAACCGAGAUUCCCCCAGUAGCGGCGAGCGAACGGGGAGCAGCCCAGAGUCUGAAUCAGCUUGUGUGUUAGUGGAACGGUCUGGAAAGUCCGACGGUACAGGGUGAUAGUCCCGUACACCAAAAUGCACAGGCUGUGAACUCGAAGAGUAGGGCGGGACACGUGGUAUCCUGUCUGAAUAUGGGGGGACCAUCCUCCAAGGCUAAAUACUCCUGACUGACCGAUAGUGAACCAGUACCGUGAGGGAAAGGCGAAAAGAACCCCGGCGAGGGGAGUGAAAAAGAACCUGAAACCGUGUACGUACAAGCAGUGGGAGCACCUUCGGGUGUGACUGCGUACCUUUUGUAUAAUGGGUCAGCGACUUAUAUUCUGUAGCAAGGUUAACCGUAUAGGGGAGCCGCAGGGAAACCGAGUCUUAACUGGGCGUUAAGUUGCAGGGUAUAGACCCGAAACCCGGUGAUCUAGCCAUGGGCAGGUUGAAGGUUGGGUAACACUAACUGGAGGACCGAACCGACUAAUGUUGAAAAAUUAGCGGAUGACUUGUGGCUGGGGGUGAAAGGCCAAUCAAACCGGGAGAUAGCUGGUUCUCCCCGAAAGCUAUUUAGGUAGCGCCUCGUGAAUUCAUCUUCGGGGGUAGAGCACUGUUUCGGCUAGGGGGUCAUCCCGACUUACCAACCCGAUGCAAACUACGAAUACCGAAGAAUGUUAUCACGGGAGACACACGGCGGGUGCUAACGUCCGUCGUGAAGAGGGAAACAACCCAGACCGCCAGCUAAGGUCCCAAAGUCAUGGUUAAGUGGGAAACGAUGUGGGAAGGCACAGACAGCCAGGAUGUUGGCUUAGAAGCAGCCAUCAUUUAAAGAAAGCGUAAUAGCUCACUGGUCGAGUCGGCCUGCGCGGAAGAUGUAACGGGGCUAAACCAUGCACCGAAGCUGCGGCAGCGACACUAUGUGUUGUUGGGUAGGGGAGCGUUCUGUAAGCCUGCGAAGGUGACCUGUGAGGGUUGCUGGAGGUAUCAGAAGUGCGAAUGCUGACAUAAGUAACGAUAAAGCGGGUGAAAAGCCCGCUCGCCGGAAGACCAAGGGUUCCUGUCCAACGUUAAUCGGGGCAGGGUGAGUCGACCCCUAAGGCGAGGCCGAAAGGCGUAGUCGAUGGGAAACAGGUUAAUAUUCCUGUACUUGGUGUUACUGCGAAGGGGGGACGGAGAAGGCUAUGUUAGCCGGGCGACGGUUGUCCCGGUUUAAGCAUGUAGGCUGGUUGUCCAGGCAAAUCCGGAUAAUCAAGGCUGAGGUGUGAUGACGAGGCACUACGGUGCUGAAGUAACAAAUGCCCUGCUUCCAGGAAAAGCCUCUAAGCAUCAGGUAACAUCAAAUCGUACCCCAAACCGACACAGGUGGUCAGGUAGAGAAUACCAAGGCGCUUGAGAGAACUCGGGUGAAGGAACUAGGCAAAAUGGUGCCGUAACUUCGGGAGAAGGCACGCUGGUGUGUAGGUGAAGUCCCUGCGGAUGGAGCUGAGACCAGUCGAAGAUACCAGCUGGCUGCAACUGUUUAUUAAAAACACAGCACUGUGCAAACACGAAAGUGGACGUAUACGGUGUGACGCCUGCCCGGUGCCGGAAGGUUAAUUGAUGGGGUUAUCCGUAAGGAGAAGCUCUUGAUCGAAGCCCCGGUAAACGGCGGCCGUAACUAUAACGGUCCUAAGGUAGCGAAAUUCCUUGUCGGGUAAGUUCCGACCUGCACGAAUGGCGUAAUGAUGGCCAGGCUGUCUCCACCCGAGACUCAGUGAAAUUGAACUCGCUGUGAAGAUGCAGUGUACCCGCGGCAAGACGGAAAGACCCCGUGAACCUUUACUAUAGCUUGACACUGAACAUUGAGCCUUGAUGUGUAGGAUAGGUGGGAGGCUUUGAAGCGUGGACGCCAGUCUGCGUGGAGCCAACCUUGAAAUACCACCCUUUAAUGUUUGAUGUUCUAACGUUGGCCCCUUAUCGGGGUUGCGGACAGUGUCUGGUGGGUAGUUUGACUGGGGCGGUCUCCUCCCAAAGCGUAACGGAGGAGCACGAAGGUUAGCUAAUCCUGGUCGGACAUCAGGAGGUUAGUGCAAUGGCAUAAGCUAGCUUGACUGCGAGCGUGACGGCGCGAGCAGGUGCGAAAGCAGGUCAUAGUGAUCCGGUGGUUCUGAAUGGAAGGGCCAUCGCUCAACGGAUAAAAGGUACUCCGGGGAUAACAGGCUGAUACCGCCCAAGAGUUCAUAUCGACGGCGGUGUUUGGCACCUCGAUGUCGGCUCAUCACAUCCUGGGGCUGAAGUAGGUCCCAAGGGUAUGGCUGUUCGCCAUUUAAAGUGGUACGCGAGCUGGGUUUAGAACGUCGUGAGACAGUUCGGUCCCUAUCUGCCGUGGGCGCUGGAGAAUUGAGGGGGGCUGCUCCUAGUACGAGAGGACCGGAGUGGACGCAUCACUGGUGUUCGGGUUGUCAUGCCAAUGGCACUGCCCGGUAGCUAAAUGCGGAAGAGAUAAGUGCUGAAAGCAUCUAAGCACGAAACUUGCCCCGAGAUGAGUUCUCCCUGAGACUUUAAGUCUCCUGAAGGAACGUUGAAGACGACGACGUUGAUAGGCCGGGUGUGUAAGCGCAGCGAUGCGUUGAGCUAACCGGUACUAAUGAACCGUGAGGCUUAACCUU
rnacentral:rRNA from 1 species